rnacentral:misc_RNA from 1 species
GCAGUGUUGCAUGACCGCUUGGCCAUUGUUUAUUUCCAAAACGUAUAUCUGGUUAUACUGGCGUGUAUGCCAACCAGUUGCUUUGGAACAAUAAACUGAAUCCAUCAUUGACCUUUGUGAUGGACGGGGCUGCACGAUGAACGAGACAAGUCGGACACGCCGAUCAAUAAGUCAGUGUUUACAAGGGGUUUUCCACGAUCUAUUAAUACGUCCUUGCAUGUGUUAAACAUGAGUGAAGCAGCCUACCAACUGUUGUCACUUGGCGACAUGUUAUUCAUGGGGACCCACUUCACAACGGCUCCCACCACAAGCACAGUAAACCUUUUACGAGGGCACGCCGAAUUCCGGAUCAGUCAACUCAAGUAGGACACAGAGCCAGUCAUGUACCGUCAUUGAAUUGUGUUUGCGUAGGUGGAAAUAUAGGAGGGCCCUGAUCAGCCAUGUUGGCAGUACAACGUGUCCGGCUGUGUAACUAUAUAGUAUCGAUCGUUCUGGUGACGGCAGUAUGUGUGGCGUCACCGGUCCUGCCUCUGAGACACAUUACCACAUCCCCCUCAACAACCACAGCACCGAUCUCUACAGAACAUUCCACACUCAUGGCUAACGACAAUACGACAAUGGGUGAUACAUCCUGUUCUGAAGGAGGCAGCUGCUCUCUAAAUAAAGCAGAUCUGGCCAAAACAGUAGUGCUGAGGUUGACAAUCGUUGCUGCCUGUAUACUUGUCUUCGUGGGUCUUGUGAAACUCUCAGUCGUUAUGAAUAGAUGCUGCAGUUGUGACUUCAAGCGAAAACACACGGUGACCUUCACCCGGAUAUGACCCGAGUAAACCGAGGUCACACCAUCAUACAGAGAAGCGGACCAAAUCAGGGACUGAUGAUAUAUGCCGUAUGUGCGUUGCAAAUGGGUGCACACACUUCUCCUAUAUAAUGUUUUAGUUGGUGCAAAAAUGUUGUUGUAAUAUUAAAUUAUUAAUAAUCGAGUAAACGAGCAAUUUAUUGAUGUGAAUGUGUUAUAUGUGUGCCAAGAUAUGUUCAAAGACACAUGUGUACUGCUAGAAUCUGAAAUAUGUAAUUUAUACAUAUGUUGCUGUCUUUGCCAGAGAGUAAGUGUCCUGAUGGAACUGAGACUGUUGAUUUAUUAUACAACACUUAUAGAGCGAACAUGGUUCAAUCUCGGUGACCUUGUUUAGUCACCGGACCAGGUUAGUGUGGAGAUUACGAUGUGCACGUGACAUAACACUGUCACACGUCACCACCUUAACAUGGUCAUCAGAAGGUUUUAAUGUGAUAAUGACUUAAACCUAUGGAUGUUUGAAUGUGUAUAUCUGUUGAAUUUCUGAAGUGCAAUAAACGAUUGUUAAUUAA